AUGGUAUUGGUUGCCAUUCAACCAGAAGAGAAUAUGGUAUUGGUUGCCAUUCAACCAGAAGAGUCGAUGAUGGAGCGACAGGAACCGGCAGCCAAACACCGGAAUCCAGCAGGCGCCAUUGUUCGUGCAGCCAAUCACCGGAAUCCAGCAUGCGCCAUUGUUCAUGCUCAAGCACCACCAAAGAUUCGCUCAGGGAACAAAUCAUUUGUUCAGCUUGAUGAAGAUGGGGCUUCUCCCCUUCCGCAUCUUUCCUCCCACCACCAUGGUGAUACGGAAAGAAUAGAAUGGAAAGAAUCAUCUCCAGAUCUAGGAAGAUUCAAAGCUCCGAGCUUAUUCGAGGAGUCGUUGGCGGCGCACACCACAGAAGCAGCUGGCCACCAGCCACCACCAAGACCACCGCCCCCGAACGCCAUCAACCGCUGCUCACCUACGGCGGCAACAUACUCCCCAUUAGCAUAG
rnacentral:rRNA from 1 species